AUUGAACGCUGGCGGCAUGCUUUACACAUGCAAGUCGAACGGUAACAGGCCGCAAGGUGCUGACGAGUGGCGAACGGGUGAGUAAUUCAUCGGAACGUGCCCAGCCGUGGGGGAUAACUACUCGAAAGAGUAGCUAAUACCGCAUACGAUCUAUGGAUGAAAGCGGGGGACCGUAAGGCCUCGCGCGAUUGGAGCGGCCGAUGUCAGAUUAGGUAGAUGGUGGGGUAAGGGCUGACCAAGCCAACGAUCUGUAGCUGGUCUGAGAGGACGAGCAGCAACACUGGGACUGAGACACGGCCCAGACGCCUACGGGAGGCAGCAGUGGGGAAUUUUGGACAAUGGGCGCAAGCCUGAUCCAGCAAUGCCGCGUGCAGGAAGACGGCCUUCGGGUUGUAAACUGCUUUUGUACGGAACGAAACGGCUCUGGUUAAUACCCGGGGCUAAUGACGGUACCGUAAGAAUAAGCACCGGCUAACUACGUG
rnacentral:rRNA from 1 species